rnacentral:rRNA from 1 species
UACGUAGGGGGCUAGCGUUGUCCGGAAUCAUUGGGCGUAAAGAGCGUGUAGGCGGCCAGAUAAGUCCGCUGUGAAAUCUCGAGGCUCAACUUCGAGCUGUCGGUGGAAACUAUCUGGCUAGAGUCCGGAAGAGGAGAAUGGAAUUCCUGGUGUAGCGGUGAAAUGCGCAGAUAUCAGGAAGAACACCCGUAGCGAAGGCGGUUCUCUGGGACGGUACUGACGCUGAGACGCGAAAGCGUGGGGAGCGAACAGG